rnacentral:tRNA from 3 species
GGCGGCGUAGCUCAGCUGGUUAGAGCACACGGUUCAUACCCGUGGUGUCCGGGGUUCGAGUCCCUGCGCCGCUACCA